UACACAUGCAAGUCGAACGGCAGCACGGACUUCGGUCUGGUGGCGAGUGGCGAACGGGUGAGUAAUACAUCGGAACGUGUCCUGGAGUGGGGGAUAGCCCGGCGAAAGCCGGAUUAAUACCGCAUACGCUCUNUGGAGGAAAGCGGGGGAUCUUCGGACCUCGCGCUCAAGGGGCGGCCGAUGGCAGAUUAGCUAGUUGGUGGGGUAAAGGCCUACCAAGGCGACGAUCUGUAGCUGGUCUGAGAGGACGACCAGCCACACUGGGACUGAGACACGGCCCAGACUCCUACGGGAGGCAGCAGUGGGGAAUUUUGGACAAUGGGCGCAAGCCUGAUCCAGCAAUGCCGCGUGUGUGAAGAAGGCCUUCGGGUUGUAAAGCACUUUUGUCCGGAAAGAAAACCUCGUGGUUAAUACCCCGUGGGGGGAUGACGGUACCGGAAGAAUAAGCACC
rnacentral:rRNA from 1 species